CUGAAAAAGGAAGGAAGGAGGAAGCCCUUGGACAAUUGUUGGUGUGUUUCUGAAAGCCCAACUCCUUUGGAGAGCUCACCAUGGCUUGGACCCUACUGUUCUUGGUGCUUCUCAAUUACUACGCUGGUGUCCAUUCUCAGCGAACAUUGACUCAGCUGGCUUCCGUGUCUGGGUCCCUGGGACAGACGAUCACACUCUCCUGCACCAAAGGCAGUGGAAGCUGGAACACUGGUGUCUACUGGUAUCAGCAGAAAUCUGGAGAGAGUCCUCGCUUUGUUCACUGCAAUGGCUGCGGCACCAGGGGACCAGGGAUCCCGGAUCGGUUCACGGCGACUGCUUCUGGAAACACAGGCUCUUUAACCAUCACAAAUCUCCAGGCCGGAGAUGAGGCCAAUUAUUACUGUUUUUGUCGGUACUACAAAGACCUGACAGCUCGUAUCACGGUGGUCCAUUCUCAUGGGGAUGUGAGACCAAAACUGUCAAGUCUCCUCCCAAGAACGUCAGAAACUCUGGAGAGCUGAAGAUGUCUCUCUUUCUCCACUUUUAAAAAUAAAUAAACUUCAUUGA